rnacentral:rRNA from 1 species
AGAGUUUGAUCCUGGCUCAGGAUGAACGCUGGCGGCGUGCUUAACACAUGCAAGUCGAGCGAAGCGUAUUAGCGGAAGUUUUCGGAUGGAAGCGGAUAUGACUUAGCGGCGGACGGGUGAGUAACGCGUGGAUAACCUGCCUCAUACAGGGGGAUAACAGUUAGAAAUGACUGCUAAUACCGCAUAAGCGCACAGGACCGCAUGGUCCGGUGUGAAAAACUCCGGUGGUAUGGGAUGGAUCCGCGUCUGAUUAGCUGGUUGGUGAGGUAACGGCCCACCAAGGCGACGAUCAGUAGCCGACCUGAGAGGGUGGCCGGCCACAUUGGGACUGAGACACGGCCCAAACUCCUACGGGAGGCAGCAGUGGGGAAUAUUGCACAAUGGGGGAAACCCUGAUGCAGCAACGCCGCGUGAGUGAAGAAGUAUUUCGGUAUGUAAAGCUCUAUCAGCAGGGAAGAAGAAAGACGGUACCUGACUAAGAAGCCCCGGCUAACUACGUG